rnacentral:lncRNA from 1 species
GGGUGUGGAGGCUGCUCGAACAACAAAGGAGGCCCUUCUUAGAGGCUCGAGAGAUAGAGAGGGACUGGAUUAAUUGACGAGGCCUUCCCCUUAGAAGUUAGUCUUCCAGCCUCCAUUGAUGAGAGGAGUUUGGAUUGCCAUUGGCUUUGGUAUCUCCUACCUCUCUUCCUCCCGUUUACUGUAGGUUUAGCUUGGAAAAACUAUAGAAUGUCUACUCCAGUGUUGAUCUCUGUGAACAGAAUCAAACAAAAUAAAAAAGCAUUGACAGUUAGAAGGGAAUGAGAGCACGAACAUCUAAAUUGAAUUUGAGCUGGAUACCUGCCAGGUGAGGCCUGAUCUAGGUGUCCAACAGAUGUGGGACACAUGGCAAGGGUAGCUAGAUAAGGAAGGGUUUACUUGUUAGGUCUUGGUUUUGAAGCACCAUCACCAUGCGGAGAAGUGUGACCCAGUUGCCCGGAUUUCUGACAUGGGCCAUUCGUUGAAGAAGCUGAACUCUUCUUGCUGAAUUCAUGACUCCCAAGGAGCCUGGCCGGAGACCGGAACAUCUAUAUCAAAUAAGGUGAUGGUGAUAUCGGCCUUGUAAUUCUAGUUCCCUCUUCACA